GACGAACGCUGGCGGCGUGCUUAACACAUGCAAGUCGAACGGAAAGGCCCGCAUCAUUUUUGUGGUGGGGGUGCUCGAGUGGCGAACGGGUGAGUAACACGUGGGUGAUCUGCCCUGUACUUCGGGAUAAGCUUGGGAAACUGGGUCUAAUACCGGAUAGGACCAUGGUUUAGUGUCUCAUGGUGGAAAGAUUAUUGUUUUGGUGCAGGAUGAGCUCGCGGCCUAUCAGCUUGUUGGUGGGGUAAUGGCCUACCAAGGCGUCGACGGGUAGCCGGCCUGAGAGGGUGGACGGCCACAUUGGGACUGAGAUACGGCCCAGACUCCUACGGGAGGCAGCAGUGGGGAAUAUUGCACAAUGGGCGCAAGCCUGAUGCAGCGACGCCGCGUGGGGGAUGACGGCCUUCGGGUUGUAAACUCCUUUCGUUAGGGACGAAGCCACAUUUUUUGGGUGUGGUGACGGUACCUUUGUUAAGAAGCACCGGCUAACUACGUGCCAGCAGCCGCGGUAAUACGUAGGGUGCGAGCGUUGUCCGGAAUUACUGGGCGUAAAGAGCUCGUAGGUGGUUUGUUGCGUCGUCUGUGAAAUUCCGGGGCUUAACUUCGGGGUGGCAGGCGAUACGGGCAUAACUAGAGUGCUGUAGGGGAGACUGGAAUUCCUGGUGUAGCGGUGGAAUGCGCAGAUAUCAGGAGGAACACCGAUGGCGAAGGCAGGUCUCUGGGCAGUAACUGACGCUGAGGAGCGAAAGCAUGGGGAGCGAACAGGAUUAGAUACCCUGGUAGUCCAUGCUGUAAACGGUGGGCGUUAGGUGUGGGGACCGGUUUGGUUUCUGUGCCGUAGCUAACGCAUUAAGCGCCCCGCCUGGGGAGUACGGCCGCAAGGCUAAAACUCAAAGGAAUUGACGGGGGCCCGCACAAGCGGCGGAGCAUGUGGAUUAAUUCGAUGNCACGCGAAGAACCUUACCUGGGUUUGACAUGCACCAGACGGUUGUAGAGAUACGUACCUCCCUUUGUGGUUGGUGUGCAGGUGGUGCAUGGUUGUCGUCAGCUCGUGUCGUGAGAUGUUGGGGUAAGUCCCCGCACGAGCGCAACCCUUUGUCUAUGUUGCCAGCACUUUGGGUGGGGAUUCAUGAGAGACUCCCGGGGUUAACUCGGAGGAAGGUGGGGAUGACGUCAAAUCAUCAUGCCCUUUAUGCCCAGGGCUUCACACAUGCUACAAUGGUUAUUUUAUCCCCCCGCGAACCUGUGAGGGUUAGCGAAUCCGCUGAAAACAAAUCUCAAGUCGGACUUGGGUCCGCCACUCGACCCCAUGAAGUCGGAGUCGCUAGUAAUCGCAGAUCAGCAAUGCUGCAGAGGAUACGUUCCCGGGCUU
rnacentral:rRNA from 1 species